rnacentral:tRNA from 1 species
CAGGGAGACAACACAAUGAUUUUGAUGCCUGAGUGCUUUUAUUCUUAGGCCGAAAUCCUGUCACCUUAGGUCGAUCGGUACCUCAGCUUUGAAGUUAAGGAUCAGCAGCAAUGUUGAUUGCUUGAUGGAGAUUUUCAGUUCCUAAACUUUGUCUAGGUCACACCCCAAAAGGGAUGAGACUCCUGGGCCAUUAGCUCAGGUGGUUAGAGCGCACCCCUGAUAAGGGUGAGGUCCCUGGUUCAAGUCCAGGAUGGCCCAUUCGGUGUUGGGGGUUUAGCUCAGUUGGUAGAGCGCCUGCUUUGCAAGCAGGAUGUCAGGAGUUCGAGUCUCCUAACCUCCACUGACCGAACUUGAUUCCCAUCUCCAAUUUUUUGGAGUUGAGCUCGAUUGGAGUGUGAUUUAGAUGUGUCCGCUGGAUGACCCCAGCUUCCUGUCAUUCCAAGUUUUAGGUUGAUGCCUUCAAUUUGGUUGAUAAGAUGCUGGGCUCGGAUCAAAUGAUCAAGUAAUUGAUGAUUUGAUUUGAAGUUCUAGCAGAACCUUGACAACUGCAUAGGUGAGUCUGGAAAAAACAAAGCAUCUUACAGAUGCAUUGUUUUGAAUCUGAUCUUCUGAAAGGGAGAUUGGAUCUAGAACAAUGAAAAUUCCUUUGAGCAAGAGCCGAGACUCUUAAACGUUCUUUGAUUGGUGUCGAGCCAAUCAGAGUUUGAUCUUGUUUUUAGCAAUAAAAACUUGAGAAUCUGCUUUCAACGGCGGUAAGCGUUAGGAGGUUAAUU